CGCGGUGAGGCCGGCGGGCAGGUGAGGACGGGCGGCGCCGCGGCCCGACCAGCGCGGCUCCCGCAGCCCCGCCGAAGCCCCGGCUGCAGCGAAGCGGCCAGUGCCGCGCGGAGCGGAAUCGGCGCCGCCUGCUCCCGCCGCCCCCUCCUCUGCAGGCCGCCCGCCCGCCCACCCGCGGAAGAGGCGCCCGGGCCGCUCCCCUCGAGGUCCCCGCCCGACCCACGCCGUUCCGUUCGCGCCUCCAGGGCCAGGUCCCGCCAGGCCGGCCUCGCAGCUCCCGGGGCCGAGACCCCAAGCGUGAGCCGGGUGGGCGCAGGACUCUCGGAGGUUUUCCGAACUCCGCUCCCUCGGCUUGGGACCCGCCCGGCUAGUCCCAACAGCGGCCCGGCGGCCGUAGGCCCCGCGCUCUGUGCGCCAGGGAAAAGCAGCUCCCGAGUUAUGCCGGACGCCCCUGCGCCCCGCCGUCAGCCGUUCCCGGCCCCUCGGUGAGGCGCCCCCUUCCCGCCGCGCUCUGCUGCCGGGUGCCCUUGGCCUCGGCCUCUCGUGACCUCUGACCCCUCUUGGUGCGAACAAGGCCAGGCGUUUCGCCGCCGACGCGAAGGGGCUGUCUGUGCGCGGCGUUGCGGACCCUCCGCGCGUGGGGUGUACGUGUGCGUGUUCGGGUUCGGUUCUGUGUGUGCACCGCGGGCCUGCUCAGAGUCGGGGCCACCGGGCUGCGUGUGGGCCACCAGGUCAGGCCCUAGCCCAGGAUGGGCCCGAAGCUGGAGCGAAAAAGGGGAAAGCGGCCGCGCUGACGCCGGGGCCUUCGCUGCAAGCGAGAGGCGGACUCGGCGCACCCGCGCGGCCUCGGAAACUUCCAAGAGGCCCCGGCUCUCCGCUGGCUCCACCUCUGCCAGGUGGGGAAGAUGGCCCGGGACCGGGUCCGCUCAAGACCAGAACUGGUGCCUGGCAGCCGUCUGGUGGCCUGGCCCGGAGGCCGGAGAGCCGGGCCCAGGGGGAGCGCCGAGCGCUGGCUUCCUUUUCCCGAGAGUCUUUAGUGAGGAAAAACCCCAUGAGAGGUGAUUGCAAGGCCUCAGCCCUCUGCCCACACUUGGCCGAGCGCUGGGAACCCCUCCUUCCGGGCUCCACAGCUGGGACCGCUUGUCCCCAGGCCCCCCAAGGUGGCUGAGGCAGGUUUGGGAUCACACUGCCUGCCCUGAGCAAGGCAGGAUCCGCUGAAGAAUUUCAUUUCAUCAGGCGAUAUUUUAAGCAGAUGUGGACUUCCCCAGGGACCACAGUCCAUUACCCGAAUCAAAGGCGGUAGGGCCAGCACUGCAGCCAGCAGGUCCUCCCCUCCCCACAAUGCUGACCAGGUCAGGGGACUGUGGGGUGGGGCAGGGGCAAGGUCAUGGUUACCAGGCUGGUAUUCAGGCUGGGCACAGAACAGCCACCAGGCCAGUGGAGGCGACCCCAUGACCCAGCGUUUUGGGGGCCACCGCCGAGUGUGCAUCUGGAGGUGUAAUCUCGUUUGUGUUUCCCUGGAGACGCCAUUCCAAGCCUCCUUCAGAAACAGGCCAGGCUGACUGGACCCUCCCCUCUCCCACCCUCCCUGGGGAAGUUGGCCUCUUCCACCAGUCCCCUCCCCGGAGCCAGGACGGCAGCCUUCCGUCUGGAGGCGGGUUAGGGCAGCAGCGCCAGGACGUCCGGCGGGAGUCCAGCCUCUUGCCCCGCUUCGGACGAAAACAUAGAGGCUGCGGUGGAGGGGUGGAGUGCAGGGCUGGCCGCCAGGGCCUGGUGCCCCACGGCAGGAGGCUGUGUGUCGCCCACAGGCCCUCCCUGUGCCCCUGGCUUCGCAGGUGUGCCAUGGCUCGGAAGCUGGCAGGAGGGGGCUUGCCAAGCUGGCUUUGGAGCAACUGCUGGGUGGGCUCCUUGGGGACAGGCGCUGGCCAUGCCCUAGGCUCGCCAACCACCAGACACCCACUGGGGGCGUCCUGCUUGUCCUGUGAGCGGCUCUUCCAGAGCAGGUGCUGGCCAGACCUCCUGGCCCCUCCUGGCCCCAAGGCUUCCUCCGCUCCCAAGCCGUCCUCUGGGCAGUGCGCAGAGCAGGGGACCAGGGCUGCCGUUUCUGCCGGGAGGCUGUGGGGGAAGGUGGCCCGGCAGCCAGGGGCUCCCCCCACCAGGCCCCUCAAGGGAGGCGAGGCUGGUGGCAGCUCGCUGGGACGCCGUGGGCCCGAUUAGCCCCCUGUUUUAUUCAAUUAGGAGGCAAUUAGGGAUCCUUGGGGGGCUGGGGCUGGUAAUUAAGGUGAUGUAUAAUUAGAGUUUCAACAAAAAUUAUCCAGGAUUAAAAAUCUUUUGAAUAAUUUCGUUUAAAAUUUUCAAAUAGCGUUAAAUACAAUUUAUCAGGUUUUGAAUCAAACCCGUGUAACAAGUCUUGGAAGCUGCAGCUCCCGUCGCCGGCGCGGGAGGACCAGGAGCAGCUCCGGCGACUUGCCCGUGCGGGAAAGAAACUUCGCGAGCGAAGCCAGCUGGCUGGGGCCUCGCCGCGGUGCAGCGGCGGCCGCGGGCUCAGAAUCGGGCCGCCGAGGGCUGCAGACGGCGCGGGCCGGGUCGGGGAGCGGGGCCUGGGAGACCCCUGGCCGGCUGGUGGUCUAGGCAGACUUCCCGCUCCCCGCGCACAAAGUCGCGGCCAAUUACCGCGGAGCAGCGCCCGCGUCUACACAGCGCAGCCUGGCGCCCCGACCCUGGCCGGGCGGGAGCGGCUCUCUCCCCUUCUAGAGCCCCAGCUUGGACCCGAGGGUCCCCUCCUCCUGGCCUCCCUUGCGGAGGAGGGCAGCCUCCGCGUCCCCAACCACCGACCCUCGACCUCGUGCGGGACACCGUGGGCGCCAGGCCCCUUUUUGCCUCGGUUCCCUGCGGCAUCCCCGACCCGCGCCCCGAGAGACGCGGGAGCGCGCGCCGCCUGAGCUUAAGUAGGGGCUGUAGGGAGAGGGAAGUGCAGAGAAACCGAGGCAGAGGGUGGGGAUCCGGCUUUCGAGGGUAGACCUGCCUGCCCAGUCUGAUCCGCAGCCUGGGCUCCUGCUGGGCAACCGCGGGAGACUGGCAGGGCUUCCUAGCGUACUUGGAAGACAGGACACCUCCUCCCUUCACUGACCCCGGGAAGACAGAGUGCAGAGGAGCAGGCACCACUUUUGGAAGUGAGAAAUCCCAGGCGCAGAGAGGUGGAGUAACUCUUGGGAGGCCACACAGCAAAUUGAGGGCUCCACUGAAAUUCAGUGAAAUGAAGACCUCCAGGGAUUCUUAUGUAGCAUUCCCCUCCCCCACAGAGCACUGCAGGCUGCUGCUAAUUCCAUAGGGUGUGCGUGUGUGUGUGUGUGUGUCAGGGUUUAAGCAUUUUCUCAAGGCCAGUGCUCAACUUGUAGCAGGUCUGUUCUUAAAAAGCAGGCAGGACGUCACACGCGUCCAGCGUGUAAGUGACCUCACACCUGUAGGCUGGAUUCCUGCUUCGCAGGGUCUGGACUCCUGCUGGGCUCCAUCCCCCACCGCUCCUGCCCCUGCUGUGGGUGUCCUGCCCCCAAAGGCAGGCACAGAGGAGCAGAAACCUUGGUCAGGUGGCCUGGCCUGCGCCCUCCACACCCCCUCGCUCACUGCCUUAGGAGAAAUGCAGGAGGUUCAGGUUGGUCCAGGAGGUGUAGGACCUGCCCCUUGCCACCCCUCAGAUCUGGAGGCGAAUAACCACCCCCACCCCCUCCCCCCUCCCCACCCGCAUCUCAGCAAUCAAGGGGAGGUGGAGCUGCUGCUGCCCUGUUGGUCUGAGCUACAGGGCAGAAAGGGAUGGCAGCCGACGUCUCUGGUCCAGCCUGGCAUGGGCCGUGACUCCUCAAGUCUGGGUGUCUCCUAGGCUGCAGCAGGGCCACGGUGGCCGUUCUGGGCCAGGAGUGCUCCCAAGCUUCGGUGGGCCCAGAGCAGGGGAGGGGUGGCCUCUUCCUGCUCUGACCACUUCACUCUUGGGCUUUUGCCAUCAAAUCCUCCACGGUCUGGAGGUGCCUGGGCUGGCCCGCCUGGCGGGCCUAGCCUGAGAGGCAGGAACAAUGCCCUGAGGCCUGAAGACAGGAGUGCCGGCCCCUCCAAGACCAUAUUUGUUUAAUAGUUAACAUUUUGGACAAAAAAGGAGGGAAGUCAGAUUCUGGUGAAGGUUUUGCUUAUUUUAUAUCCACUAUAACUAUUUCUGUCCAUGAAAAUUGGCUUAAUUAUAUCAAUGGAAUGUUUCUUUUUCAAUUCUGUAUGCAAUUAGUCCAUCUUGCCGGCUGCAAUUUAUUUUAAUAAAAAAAUAAACCAGUGGUGUGUUCAGUUCCUCGUCCCCUGGGGACAAAUGCGA